AUGGUGUUCCCAAGCAGGGGAAGUAUCCGUGUCGAUGCUGACAGUGUUCAAAUGGUAUUUGAUCUUCCUAACAGGGGUCAAAAAGUCACAUAUAAAGUUGACAAGGAUACAACUAGGAGAUUCAGAGAGACUUUCAACAUACGUGGAGAUUCUCAUCCCCAGAUCACUACAUGGUGCAAGAUGAUUAAGGAUAUGGCGAAGCAAACUAUUUGCUGCUGCUUGUAUCACUUGAUGAUCAUGUACCUUGACACGCUCGUUCAUGACAUCUCAGUAAGCAACUGUGUGACACAACGAAUGCAUGGGACAGUAACCUAA
rnacentral:rRNA from 1 species